UCUUUCAGAGAAAUGUAAUCACAUAUUGGAAAAUUGUGGCGUAUUAUCAUGAUUACAAAUCGCGAAAUACCGAAGCACUUUGAAUCUUCUUGUGAUUCAAAAGAAACUUAAAAGUCAAAGGUCGCAUAAUCAUUGAUCUUUCGACAGCUUGUUUGAUAAUAGCACGUUUAACGCUAUUACGAUAAGAGUCGUUCGCGGAGAAACCGCAAGCAACCGUAUACGUCUUGGAAUAUAAAUGAUGAGCAGCGGCGGGUCGUGGGAAUCCCAGAGGCAUGCCAUUAAACAUUCAUCGCUUGUUCAUUAUAUGCCGAGUCACAAAUCAACAACUUAUCAAGUAUUAAAAUGAGAUGAACUAGGAGACUCUCGAAGAGUCACCGAAGCGACGGACUGUUCUGCAAUUUCAGGGAUACUUUUACGACGAUCCGCCCGAUAAGAUUUCUUGAUCACAUCCUUUCUCUCCAGAAUGCAUCAUGCGCUAAUCCUCACUUGAAACCCACCAGAGAUGUAAUAAAACUCAAACGCAAAACCGAGAAUUUUACAAAUUUACGUUUAUAAGAAUUGAUGGGGAUAUCAUAACGAACAACGGCUCUAAAUAAGGAAAUAUUUAUUAUUGUCGUUCGUUUUAAUUUGCCGUUGACCUG